GGGCCCGCACAAGCGGUGGAGCAUGUGGUUUAAUUCGAUGAUACGCGAGGAACCUUACCAGGGCUUAAAUGUAGUUUGACCGGUCUGGAAACAGACUUUCUCUUCGGAGCAGAUUACAAGGUGCUGCAUGGUUGUCGUCAGCUCGUGCCGUGAGGUGUUAGGUUAAGUCCUGCAACGAGCGCAACCCCUAUUCUUAGUUGCCAGCGGUUCGGCCGGGGACUCUAAGAAGACUGCCAGCGCAAGCUGAGAGGAAGGUGGGGAUGACGUCAAAUCAUCACGGCCCUUACGUCCUGGGCUACACACGUGCUACAAUGGUAGAGACAGAGGGCAGCCACCUGGUGACAGGGAGCG
rnacentral:rRNA from 1 species